CCAAAUGGGCCAGUGCAAAUCCUACUUGGAUAACUGUGGUAAUUCCAGAGCUAAUACAUGCAACUGAUAUCCCGAAGGCGGUGUUGGUGCUUGCUUGCCUUGCGCUGGCGUUGCCCUGACGGAUGCUUUUAUUAGACCAAGCCGCUGAGGACUUGAGGGUUCGCGCUCUCUUGUUUGACUCGUGUGAUGGUGACUCUGGAUAACCAAAUUCUGACAAGCGCACGUACUUCUCUUCUGAGCGAGACGGCGCUGCCACUUUCGAGUGUCUGCCUUAUCAGCUAUCAACCGUUCGUUAUGCGCGACCGAUGGCUUUGACGGGUAACGGGGAAUCAGGGUUCGAUUCCGGAGAGGCAGCCUGAGAGACGGCUACCACGUCCAAGGACGGCAGCAGGCACGCAAAUUACCCAAUCCCAGCAAAUGGGGGAGGUAGUGACGAAAUCUAACGAUGCGGGCGCCCUUUCUGGGGCCCCGCAAUCGGAAUGGGCACUUUCUAAACAACCUGUUGAGAACCUACUGAAGG
rnacentral:rRNA from 1 species